rnacentral:rRNA from 1 species
UGCCAGCAGCCGCGGUAAUACGGAGGGGGCGAGCGUUAUUCGGAAUCAUUGGGCGUAAAGGGCGCGUAGGCGGCCUGACAAGUCAGAGGUGAAAUCCCUCGGCCUAACCGAGGAACUGCCUUUGAAACUGUCAGGCUUGAGGCCGGGAGAGGGUGGUGGAAUUCCGAGUGUAGCGGUGAAAUGCGUAGAUAUUCGGAGGAACACCAGUGGCGAAGGCGACCACCUGGACCGGUUCUGACGCUGAGGCGCGAAAGCGUGGGGAGCAAACAGGAUUAGAUA